rnacentral:rRNA from 1 species
GACGUAGGAGGCGAGCGUUGUCCGGAUUCAUUGGGCGUAAAGAGCGCGCAGGCGGCUUGGUAAGUCGGAUGUGAAAUCCCGAGGCUCAACCUCGGGUCUGCAUCCGAUACUGCCCGGCUAGAGGUAGGUAGGGGAGAUCGGAAUUCCUGGUGUAGCGGUGAAAUGCGUAGAUAUCUGGAGGAACACCGGUGGCGAAGGCGGCAUCCUGGACCGGUAUUGACGCUGAGGCGCGAAAGCCAGGGGAGCAAAGCGGG